rnacentral:rRNA from 1 species
GAUGUUGAAUAAUAUAUAUUAUAGUUGUUUGGGAGUGAAAUUUUAAGUUAUUUAGUAGUUACAUGUUAUUUAAUUUUGUUUUAGAAGCUAUGAAAUUUUGGAUUUAAACUAGGAUUAGAUACCCUAUUAUACCAGGGAGAAAUUAUACGCACUUGAGUAGUAAUCAGUUAUGAUCUUGAAAUUUAAAGAAUUUGGCGGUAUUCAAGUCUAGUUAGAGGAACCUGUUCUUUAAAACGAUAUGCCACGAAAUAUUUCAUUUUCCCUUGUAUUCAGUUUGUAUACCGCCAUUAUUAAAUAGUGUUUUUAAAUGACUAUUGUAAUAUAUUUUUAUAAUAUAUUAGGUCAAGGUGCAGCCUAUGGGAAAGUAGUUAUGGGUUACAUUAUAUUAUAUAUUCGGAUAAGUUUUUGAAGAAGGAUUUUGAAGAAGGAUUUAAUUGUAAGUCAUUUUUAAAAAGUAAGAUUGAUAAUAGCUCUAGAAUAUGUACAUAUUGCCCGUCGCUCUCAUAA